CCGAUUAGCCUGCUAGUUGUGCGGGUUUAGACCCGCAGCGGAAAGCUCAGUAACACGUGGCCAAGCUACCCUGUGGACGGGAAUACUCUCGGGAAACUGAGGCUAAUCCCCGAUAACGCUUUGCUCCUGGAAGGGGCAAAGCCGGAAACGCUCCGGCGCCACAGGAUGCGGCUGCGGUCGAUUAGGUAGACGGUGGGGUAACGGCCCACCGUGCCCAUAAUCGGUACGGGUUGUGAGAGCAAGAGCCCGGAGACGGAAUCUGAGACAAGAUUCCGGGCCCUACGGGGCGCAGCAGGCGCGAAACCUUUACACUGUACGAAAGUGCGAUAAGGGGACUCCGAGUGUGAAGGCAUAGAGCCUUCACUUUUGUACACCGUAAGGUGGUGCACGAAUAAGGACUGGGCAAGACCGGUGCCAGCCGCCGCGGUAAUACCGGCAGUCCGAGUGAUGGCCGAUCUUAUUGGGCCUAAAGCGUCCGUAGCUGGCUGAACAAGUC
rnacentral:rRNA from 1 species